rnacentral:snoRNA from 1 species
CCCCAAUUGUUUUUGUCAGGACACCUCGCAUUAUUCCCCGUGGAGGACCGUCUGUUACAACAUUGGGAGAUUGAUUGCAAUCUCGACUGUCUCAGCUUCGGCUGCAGGCUGAUAUGGUGCCGUUUUGGUUACCUAUCAAGAGAAGGCUGUGUGUCUGAUGAGUUGAAGCCUUCCCUCGCCCUCGCUGGCAUCCAAAGGAGCUUCUUAGUGAAGACACGCACAUUU